rnacentral:rRNA from 1 species
CCCGCUGAACUUAAGCAUAUCAAUAAGCGGAGGAAAAGAAACUAACAAGGAUUCCCCUAGUAACGGCGAGUGAAGCGGGAUGAGCUCAAAUUUAAAAUCUGGUAGGCUUCUGGCUACCCAAGUGGUAAUCUAGAGAAGUGUUUUCUGUGCUGGACCGUGUACAAGUUUCCUGGAUACGGAUCAUCAUAGAGGGUGAGAAUCCCCUCCUUGACACAGGCCGUCAGUGCUAUGUGAAGCUCUCUAGUCGAGUCGAGUUGUUAGGGAUCGCAGCUCAAAAUGGGAGGUAAAUUCCUUCUAAAGCUAAAUAUUGGCGAGAGACCGAUAGCGAACAAGUGACCGUGAGGGAAAGAUGAAUAGAGCUUCGGAGAGAGAGUUAUACAGUAUGUGAAAUUGUCGAAAGCGAAUCGUUCGAAUUCAGUCGCGUUGGAGGGGGAUCAGCCUGACAUUGUGGGGUUUGCUUCCUGGUCGUCGGGCCUCCAUCAAUUUUGCCUCCCAGAAAAAGAGCCAAACGAAUGUGGCGCCUUCGGGUGUGUCAUAGCCAUUGGUCGUAUAUGGUGGCUGCGACUGAGGAAAGCAGCGUGCCGAAAGGCCGGGUCUUGGCCUCGUUCACGCUGAGGAUGUUGGCAUAAUGGCUUUAAGCGACCCGUCUUGAAACACGG